rnacentral:rRNA from 1 species
GCAAGUCGAGGGGCAUCAGUUUGGUUUGCUUGCAAACCAAAGCUGGCGACCGGCGCACGGGUGAGUAACACGUAUCCAACCUGCCUCAUACUCGGGGAUAGCCUUUCGAAAGAAAGAUUAAUAUCCGAUAGCAUAUAUUUCCCGCAUGGGUUUUAUAUUAAAGAAAUUCGGUAUGAGAUGGGGAUGCGUUCCAUUAGUUUGUUGGCGGGGUAACGGCCCACCAAGACUACGAUGGAUAGGGGUUCUGAGAGGAAGGUCCCCCACAUUGGAACUGAGACACGGUCCAAACUCCUACGGGAGGCAGCAGUGAGGAAUAUUGGUCAAUGGACGCGAGUCUGAACCAGCCAAGUAGCGUGAAGGAUGACUGCCCUAUGGGUUGUAAACUUCUUUUAUAUGGGAAUAAAGUGGUCCACGUGUGGAUUUUUGUAUGUACCAUAUGAAUAAGGAUCGGCUAACUCCGUGCCAGCAGCCGCGGUAAUACGGAGGAUCCGAGCGUUAUCCGGAUUUAUUGGGUUUAAAGGGAGCGUAGGCGGAUUGUUAAGUCAGUUGUGAAAGUUUGCGGCUCAACCGUAAAAUUGCAGUUGAUACUGGCAGUCUUGAGUGCAGUAGAGGUGGGCGGAAUUCGUGGUGUAGCGGUGAAAUGCUUAGAUAUCACGAAGACUCCGAUUGCGAAGGCGGCUCACUGGAGU